rnacentral:rRNA from 1 species
GACGGAGGGGGCUAGCGUUAAUCGGAAUUACUGGGCGUAAAGCGUGCGCAGGCGGUCUGCUAAGACAGGUGUGAAAUCCCCGGGCUUAACCUGGGAACUGCGCUUGUUACUGGCAGGCUGGAGUGUGGCAGAGGGGGGUGGAAUUCCACGUGUAGCAGUGAAAUGCGUAGAGAUGUGGAGGAACACCGAUGGCGAAGGCAGCCCCCUGGGCUAACACUGACGCUCAUGCACGAAAGCGUGGGGAGCAAACAGG